GAAUGAGAAGAUGAAGGUGAGUAGCUUUGCAUGUUUUCCUCUGUGCUCAUGCGGUGACUCUCUAGCUGUUCAUUGUGGCUCAACAAAGGGGCAUGCAAGUCCGCUCCAGAAGACUGGCCCAUAUGAACUGAUAAAUAUACCUGUGGGUCUGAUGACUUGCGUGGUAGUGUCUCUCCCUGAUGUUUCUUAGACUCAAGAUUUGUUAUGAAUCCAUAUAUAGGGAGCAUCUUUUAAGGGAACCCAAUCAUCCUUUUCUGCUAUCAUCCAAGGUAUGCAUACAUUCUCACAGUUUGGAAGCACAACAGAUUCACGAAUAGCAGCCUGCAUCAGUUUGUAACAGCAUCAGCUCAACUUCCAAGAAAAUUUAAGCAAACAAUGUAGCCGGUAGGUGCAGAGAAGAGAACAUAUAUGGAAAAAUUGCCAACACAUCCCCUGGUGUAGAAUCUUAAAAUCAGUAAGUUGGUUUUUCUUUUGUAGUCGGCACGAUUUGCAAAAAAUUCAGGUCAUUGAGUAAGUGCCACGAAAAGACAAGUCCUAAAAGUAAUAAACUGGCUAGACGAGCUGUGUAUUCUACUAGCACACUAUCUGUUGGUGCCAUAUAAAGUACCAUCAUCCUCUCUCCCCACGAAAUAAGUAACCAAAUCACCCUCUGAGUACCUUUUUAAAUUUCACUGAAUAGAUACUGUGAUGAUCUAUUUGAGACCAAUUUACGUAUCAUCUACACAAAAUCCGCUCAUGGAUCUUUUGAGGUGGAUACUCUGAUUGGGCCAACUAAAGUCGAGAAGCUUUUAUGAUGCUUUAAGUUGAAGAAAAUCAGGAAGGAGAAGCAUAGCAGAUGGCAAUAGUACCUCAUGCUAAGACAUGGGAUCUUUGGUCAGUUGUCGAGAGUACGGAAUAGUUGUCUCCUAAGUUUCAGGCCAUUUUGGCAUACAUUCUACCUUUGUCAUUCACAGCACCUAAAAGCUUGUGUAGCUGACUGGCAAUCUCAAUUUACUUGAUGAAUAUCAUUCAAACAGAACA